rnacentral:rRNA from 1 species
UGGGGGAAACCCUGAUGCAGCCAUGCCGCGUGUGUGAAGAAGGCCUUCGGGUUGUAAAGCACUUUCAGUUGUGAGGAAAAGUUAGUAGUUAAUACCUGCUAGCCGUGACGUUAACAACAGAAGAAGCACCGGCUAACUCCGUGCCAGCAGCCGCGGUAAUACGGAGGGUGCGAGCGUUAAUCGGAAUUACUGGGCGUAAAGCGCACGCAGGCGGUUUGUUAAGCUAGAUGUGAAAGCCCCGGGCUCAACCUGGGAUAGUCAUUUAGAACUGGCAGACUAGAGUCUUGGAGAGGGGAGUGGAAUUCCAGGUGUAGCGGUGAAAUGCGUAGAUAUCUGGAGGAACAUCAGUGGCGAAGGCGACUCCCUGGCCAAAGACUGACGCUCAUGUGCGAAAGUGUGGGUAGCGAACAGGAUUAGAUACCCUGGUAGUCCACACCGUAAACGCUGUCUUCUAACUGUUUGUGACUUUAAGUCGUGAGUAGCGAAGCUAACGCGCUAAGUAGACCGCCUGG